rnacentral:rRNA from 1 species
CAGUCGCCACGGUAAUACAGAGGGUGCGAGCGUUAAUCGGAUUUACUGGGCGUAAAGCGUGCGUAGGCGGCUUUUUAAGUCGGAUGUGAAAUCCCUGAGCUUAACUUAGGAAUUGCAUUCGAUACUGGGAAGCUAGAGUAUGGGAGAGGAUGGUAGAAUUCCAGGUGUAGCGGUGAAAUGCGUAGAGAUCUGGAGGAAUACCGAUGGCGAAGGCAGCCAUCUGGCCUAAUACUGACGCUGAGGUACGAAAGCAUGGGGAGCAAACAGGAUUAGAUACCCGUGUAGUCCCUGUCUCUUUACC